GCCCCCAUAGCCCAAUUGGCAGAGGCAGUCGACUUAAAAUCGACGAGUUGAGGGUUCGAAUCCCUCUGGGGGUA
rnacentral:tRNA from 1 species